GACGAACGCUGGCGGCAUGCCUAACACAUGCAAGUCGAGCGAGCAGAUCCCUUCGGGGUGAAGCUAGCGGCGGACGGGUGAGUAACACGUGGGCAACCUGCCUCAUAGAGGGGAAUAGCCUUCCGAAAGGAAGAUUAGUACCGCAUAAGAUUGUAGCUUCGCAUGAAGCAGCAAUCAAAGGAGCAAUCCGCUAUGAGAUGGGCCCGCGGCGCAUUAGCUAGUUGGUGAGGUAACGGCUCACCAAGGCGACGAUGCGUAGCCGACCUGAGAGGGUGAUCGGCCACAUUGGGACUGAGACACGGCCCAGACUCCUACGGGAGGCGGCAGUGGGGAAUAUUGCACAAUGGGGGAAACCCUGAUGCAGCAAUGCCGCGUGAGUGAUGACGGCCUUCGGGUUGUAAAGCUCUGUCUUCGGGGACGAUAAUGACGGUACCCGAGGAGGAAGCCACGGCUAACUACGUGCCAGCCGCCGCGGUAA
rnacentral:rRNA from 1 species